rnacentral:lncRNA from 10 species
AGGUCAGGUACUGUGAUCUUUCCAGUUUACAGCCAUAUUCAUGGUGCUUAACACAGUGUCUGGCAUAUGGCAGACAACUCAGUAAAUGCAAACAAUUCUCCUACAGCAUGGUAUUUCCUAACCUGAUCUGGAUUUAAUGCAAUCUAUGAAUUAAGAAGUAUGAUUUGCUUUACAUGGAUCCCAGGCAGCUAGGCAAGGUUGCUGAGUGGGAGUAGAGCACAAUGGUAUUCAGCAGAAUGGGGUGAGAAGAGCUGAAGUUUAGUUCAUGCUCCACAUGCCCGGCUGAGUGGUCUGGAAAAGGGCAGUGUUGCCCAGAGGAAGGGACACUUUUUUCUUGGCAUAAAUGUGUGGUCAGCUUGCCAUAUUAUGGCUGUGUCCGGAAGUGGCACUUUUUCUUAUCCACAUGGGGACGCUGUAUAGUGUCCACAUUAUACAGCUAUUUUGAUUGCAAACCAAGACCAUGGCUUAGCUGUAGUUCAGACAUCACAGGGCAUAUAGCUUCUUAGUUUGAGGAGCUGCUGCUCAGCUGUCACCAUAUGCUUCUGCUUAACUCUGGUGGCUUUGAAUUGAGCUACCAGCAGAAGAAGCCAACGAAGUCAAGCUCAAAGGAGGUAGCAGAGAGAGGGGCACUUCAGUGUGUAAAAUAAAGGACAGGUAAGGAAGCAUUUAGGCUUGUUUUUGUUCAUUUUGAUCAAACUUUGCAUUAUUUUUAUAAUCCCUUUCUUUUUUCAGCAAAUGUUUACUGCAAGCUGUCUGAGGACCAGCUGCCGUUCUAGCACUGGGAAUACAGUGUGAACAAGGCUGGGUUUAUGGAGCUGAUGUUCUUUUAGGAAGAAGCUGCCCAGAAAAUAGGGGCAACGGAGAACAGAAAGAUGAAACAAACUAUCCUGGUAAUAAUAUCAUGUGAAUACCUAGAUCGAGCUAUUCUUGAAGAGGAGACAUGCUCAGGCUUUUUAGUUACAAAAGCCAACACAUUCCC